rnacentral:rRNA from 1 species
CCUACGGGUGGCAGCAGUGGGGAAUAUUGCACAAUGGGCGAAAGCCUGAUGCAGCAACGCCGCGUGAAGGAAGACGGUUUUCGGAUUGUAAACUUCUAUCAAUCGGGAAGAAAGAAAUGACGGUACCUGAGUAAGAAGCCCCGGCUAACUACGUGCCAGCAGCCGCGGUAAUACGGAGGGGGCAAGCGUUAUCCGGAUUUACUGGGUGUAAAGGGAGCGUAGACGGGAGUGAAAGUCUGGAGUGAAAGGCGGGGGCUCAACCCCCGGACUGCUCUGGAAACUGUACGGCUGGAGUGCAGGAGAGGUAAGUGGAAUUCCUAGUGUAGCGGUGAAAUGCGUAGAUAUUAGGAGGAACACCAGUGGCGAAGGCGGCUUACUGGACUGUAACUGACGUUGAGGCUCGAAAGCGUGGGGAGCAAACAGGAUUAGAUACCCCAGUAGUC